rnacentral:tRNA from 1 species
GCCGACGUAACUCAGUGGUAGAGUAGCUGAUUCGUAAUCAGCAGGUCAAGGGUUCAACUCCCUUCGUCGGCUCCA